rnacentral:rRNA from 1 species
UACAGAGGUCCCAAGCGUUGUUCGGAUUCAUUGGGCGUAAAGGGUGCGCAGGCUGUGGGGUAAGUCGGAUGUGAAAUUUAGAGGCUCAACCUCUAAACUGCAUUCGAUACUGCUUCGCUAGAGGUAUGUAGAGGAGAUUGGAAUUCACGGUGUAGCAGUGAAAUGCGUAGAUAUCGUGAGGAAGACCAGUGGCGAAGGCGAAUCUCUGGGCAUUACCUGACGCUCAUGCACGAAGGCCAGGGGAGCAAACGGG